GGAGAGCUGAGGCACAAAGACAUACAGGUAAAAUCUCACGAUGGGUUGCACCUGUGUCACAGUAUUUCUCUUGUUGACAGUCAGCAGCCAAAGGAUGAAUAAUUUAACAAUAUCAGGAGCUGAUCUUUAUCUAAUUGAUACUGGUUUGGUAUGUUUACCUCUUUGUUUCAUGUUUUUAAGGGGAAUAAAGACCAAAUUGACUGAUGAAAUGGAAAGAACAGGUAAAAGGCCGAGGAGACGAGGAGAAAACUAACACUGUCCGAGAUACAGAUAGGAGUUAGAGAGAACUAAUUACCAUCAGGGGAGCCCUGGGUCUAAAAGCUUAUGACUUCCCACUGAGCAUUUUUUGCUCUAAGAGAGGUCUAAUAGACAUCAAAAUGUAGCCUAGAUGACUGGUCUAAAAUCAGGCAACCACAGGUCUAAAAAUGAACGUUUUUUAGAUGUCUAAAUUUAGACCACGUUUAGACUAGCCGGCCAACAGAGAUCUAACUUUAUAUUCCUCAACCGCUAUCAUAAUUAUUUUGGUGAAGUACUUGGAGAUCAGUGAAUGCAGAUAAAUACUUCAGAUAAUUAGAAAUGGGGCCCAGUCAACGUGAAAGUAAAAAGCGUUGGUGCUACUGUAGAUGCCAACAGACUACCAGCAAACACAAUGUUUGCAGGACUUCUACAACUAGGAUAAAGUGACAUAGUCCAGGACCCGAGGGAAACAGGUUAGCAGCGCUACAACACACAGCAGGUCCCGUUUGACCAGAAACACUUCUGUUACAGACAAUUGGAUACUUUGUUGAAGCAGUUUACCUGGAACAGGGUCCAUAAGAUCCCGAAGCGUCCCCCAUCAUUGUUGACCCAGCUUUUUAGCUCUUGUCCAGGUGGUCUACCUCCUUUUUAGGCGCCCAUUAUUCCACCAGAGUCUCCGGUAUUUAGUUCAUUUUCUUGCUUGUGUUGGUGGUCGUGGCUAAAGGAGGAUUCAGAUAUUUUUCUGUAUUUUCUGGUUGUUUUUUUUCUGUCUGAUAUUGUUGCACGCUAACUUUGUUUGGGCUCCUGAACAACAUGGGGGAGCAGCGUCUGCCUCACAACCAAUCAGGAUGGUGGAGGCGGAGAAUGGCUUUGUUUACAGUCAGAAAGAGCAGAGCGCUCUGAAAUUUUAAUAUGUUGACUACACAGACAUAAGAAAACACAGCGAUAUCGUUAUAUUAUCAAAUGUCAUCAAUGACUAAUAGCUAUUGACUGAUAUUUAAAGCUUUUUUGUAUAAACACCACAAAAAAAGAUGCUUCUUUAACGGAAGUGCAACGUCUAAAUUCCGUCUAAAAAUAUACAGAGUCUGGACGGUUGAAAUUAGGUCUAAAAAAAACCCAACUAAACAUCUAAUAGCCGUCUAUUGCUCAGUGGGUUAUUUCAUUUUUCCGGGAAACGAUGGUUUUCAUAAACAAUCAGGACAAACGCGCAACAGACGAAAAAAUUAUCUGUUUGUCUUAUUGAUUUUAAAUCAUUUGAUGUAUUUUUGAUUUUAAAUUGUUUGAAUCCCUCUUUUUGAAAAAUUUUCAUUGUAUUUCCUUGCAUCUCUAAAGCACUUAGAAUUGCCUUGUGUUUGAAUGGUGCUAUACAAAUAAAUCAGCCUUGCCUUUGCCUAAAUGCUGAUUCAGACAACGAGGUUUGAAUUGAUGAGGAGUCAUAAAAGAUUAGUUUGAUGUUGACUCAGUUAUUAUUUCAAACACAGAGAUCAGUAUCAGCCUUGAUUUUCAUAACUGGCGCUUUUAGGAAUUUAAUUGUCACUCUCAUUUUACUGGAUUUAGAUUUGAUCUGUACCUGAGCUCAUUAUGUGCUUAGAUUGAUUUGACUGUGAUCAUAUUUUUGUCUAUCAGUUAACUUGACAAAAGUUUCAACCUGAUACAGAGGGAGUAAACGGAGGUAGGAGAUGUAUGAGGGAAAAUCUUUCUCAAUUCUCCAUUAUUUGGCUCUAUACAAACUGCUUUCUUGCCCUUUUAGAGGCUUUCUACACCUACUUAUUUCUUGAGAUGAGAGUGCCGGUGAGGGCGGACUUAAUCAAGGUUUGUGACAGUUUUAGCUCCUACCUGUGUGCUCUUAAAAGGCAAUGAUUUCCCCUGCCAGAGUGUUAUUCAGGGUUGUUUAUGGUUUCUCUAUUCAGCUGAGGAAUGCUCCUCAUCUGUCUCAAAAACACAUUCAUGCAUCUCAAGCAACUUUAUGAGAUGUGACUGAAAUAAAAUAUUGUAGCUCAGAAGAAAGGAGAGGUUUUUUUUCUCAAAGACACCAACCUGUGAUAUUCCAUUUUCUGUCUUCUUAACAACACUUUGGGAAUGCUUACCAUCUACUGCCCUGCUUUACAUGAUAAAAUCUGUAUUUUGAAUCUCUUUAAGCACAGCAGCGGUAGAUUACAGCGCUCAGUCUUUCAGGGAGCAUUUCAGGUGAAAACGUGAUAAUCAGCUGCAUGUUUUGAGAGCAAAGACAAAGUUUCAAAGAGUCUGAAAAAACGUUUCUAGCCUUGAAAUUUCAGCCUCUCUCUAGUUUUUGAAUUUGGACGAUAUUUUUGAAACCAGGCUGUAAAUGGACAUUGCUGUCUUUAUUAAAAAAUGAGCAGGAUAUUAAUUUUGUAGAGCAAAAUACUUGACUUCCCUGUGUCAGUCGAAGAAUUGAUUGUUGUGGGUGAACAAAACGCUGUCUCUGUAUAGGAAAUUGGGCUGCCUCAAUAAACUCGAAUAGAUGGUAAUUGUUUUUUUCCAAACAUUAAUAUAUUGAUACUAUCAGAGAGGACAGACAGAAAAGAGUUCGUGAAAAAACCUUUUUAAGUUGCUAAUUAAUUGAAAAUCACGACUUUCUGUCUCUUCUUUUUCCUUUUUUACUUAAGUUCAGCAACCUACUGUCUACCAGAAGCAGUAUACUUCAAAAUAAAAGCACAGUCGGACCAUGCAGGAAGUAAAGAAACCUAGUUAACAUGAAUAUUUAAAUUAUUAUAGAUAAAUAUGUUUAUAUUUGUCCAAUGGAUGGGCCCCCAUAACUUGUUCAGGGUCUAGUAGAUGAGCCAGCUAUGAUGUAAGAGACAAAAGAGCUGUAAGUUUUAAGAGUUUAUUUUUUCAGAUAAGUUUGGUUUUACUUUUUUAUUUGGUGCUGAAAAAGAUGGUUAUAACUGGGGCCCCCUGCAGUGUUUUGUACCAGGUUGGCAGGAGGAGGAGGAACUGCCAGAGAGAACAUAAAAAAAAAACCACCAACGCAUGAAUCAUUGAAUUUUCUAAAAAACCAUGAGUGUCUGCUUCAAAAAUAUCAACUUGAGGGGUGUCUGAUAUCUUACAAGGAAGUUAAAAGUGUGUUUUGUUUUACAGACGGGGUGUGACAGCGGUCCUGCAGCUCCACUGGAAUAAUAUGUCACAACCCAUCAAGGUGGUACUUUGGCUUCACAUCCACAAUGGGAUAAGAUGGAGGCAUGGUGUGUGUAUAUAAAUAUUCAGUUAAUGGGAGUCAGCUUAUGACAACUUAGCUUAAAUAAUGUCUCUAAGUAGAUGUCCCCAGCAGCAGCUUUCCACAAACAACCUAUAUUUAGACGUUGUUUCUCAACUCCACUCGUCUCAAGCUGCUUGUUGGACUGCGACAUAUAAAGAUCUUGGCUGGAAGUCCUAUCUUCAAAUGCUGGCUACACCAGAAGCCCGAGGAAGUUGGCCGUUUCCCCCAGAGGCAUAUAAUGUUGUCAGAUGACUGUGGAUUAAGUUCUGAGAUAGCUAAUCAGCUAAUCAUUUCCACACAUUCAUAAUCUGUAUUCUACACCCUCAGGAACAGUCUGAGGUUCGGUAUGUUGCCCGAGGAUACGUUAACAUGUAGACAUGAAGAUCUGGGGAUCUAGCGCCGAUCCUCAGACUGAACGGCAGCCUCUCGAAGGAGGUGUUUGUCUGCUGUUUGUGAUGUGACUUGAGGCAGCGCCAUUCAGGGUUUGUGUCUACAAGUUUGAAAAUGAGCAGAGUUUACGGUGCUAAAGUUAAAAAGUGGUGAGUUCGGCACAUUUCUGUAGCUCUCCUCUCAUUUCUGCCCCGAGGCCAGCAGCUUGAGGCUACAUUUCCUCUGCUGGCAUAACAUACCUCCUUUUUUUCUUCCCAGCUGUUGAUAGCUGAGUUACUCUGCGGGUGACAUAGGUUUGACUCUGCGAAGGUAAAACAAUAUGUUGGGGAAAGAUAAUGCCUCUCUAAAAUAAAUGCUGUAUGGAUAUUCAUCCUACACAGUCCAGGAUUAUCAGGCUGUGCAGUGCUAAAUCAUUGUAAUACUCUGUGCAGGAACUCUUACAAACUUGUAGGAACUUGUUGGCAGUGAAAGCGCCUUCAUAUCCUGUUUGUAAAUCUGUGGCGCAGGAUGGUAAAUGAUUUAAGUAUUUUUCCUCCAGCUUCUUCCGUUCUGUUGUUGCAGCCACCGUUUCCACUGCCAGACUUGAGUCUGCCUUCAUAAAUGACCAAUGUGAUCUGCCAUUUACUAUUUCCAUUUCCACCCGCUCCUUUCUGCCUGUCUUUACAGGGAUUCAACAUAGUUUGCCUUUUGUGGAGCUGAAAUGUAGAUCCCAGCAUAUCAUUUGCAUAAAAAACUCACUUUCAGCUCCUUUUCAUACAGGCACUAUUGUUCACCCUGAAUCUCUGCAAAAACGCUCAAGUCAUUUCUCUGCAUGAAUGCCUUUUCUAAACCAACAGGCUUUAGAUGAAUUCUAAAUCACUCAAUGUGCUUCACCCUUCGCUUUCUCUUUCCAUCCAGAGUUGGCAUGAUAAAUCUGUAUGCACAUCUGCCAAACCAUCCCUGUCCUCCCUCUGUCUCUCGCACCUUCCCUGCUCUCUCCCCUCUGCACCCCCAUCCAUCUCUCAGUCCCAAACUCAUUUGAUUUGGGGUGUAAUUGCGGGUGCAGAUCUGUGGCCGGGUGUGGAGAGGAGCGAUUGCUGUGCUCCACUGAGUGCGGAGGAUGAGAUAGAAGAGAACAGAGCCCAGGAGACUCCACGCUGCUAAAGCUGGUUACCUACACUCAUAGCUAGCCUCCAAGCGCAGUCCUGUGCCAACAGGGGGCCGGGGUUAGCUUCGCCAGUUUGAGUCUGUCUGUCUUUCUUCAGUUUCUUUUGUUCUCUCUCCGUCACACUCCUACUUCUCAGUUUUUCUCCUGUUUUAGAUUUUCUGUCCUGUUUUUUUUAAUCUAUCUAUCUAUCUAUCUAUCUAUCUAUCUAUCUAUCUAUCUAUCUAUCUAUCUAUCUAUCUAUCUAUCUAUCUAUCUAUCUAUCUAUCUAUCUAUCUAUCUAUCUAUCUAUCAUUGAUUGGUGUUGAGUCUCCUCAUGUUCAGGUUACUUAGUUUGUACCUGUAUGUAGAUUUGUAUUUGUUGCAAGAUGAGAAAAUUUAGCCUGACAUCCAGUUAAAACCUAAACAUAACAUAAAACUACACACAACAAUCAGAAAAAAACUAUAAUAAGAGAUCUAUUUUUGCUAACCUGUGGACAUCUACAUAAAAGAAAUCUCAGUAAAGUUCUAUAAAAUGAGAUUCACAUGAGUGACUUGUUCUGAAACAUGUCUGCAACCUGAACUCCUGUUGUGCGGUUCUAUCUGGAUAAUACUUACCUGGCAGCUCUGUCAGAGUCCCCAGAAAAGCUGGAUGUGUUCCCUCAUCCUGUGGGUCCCUCUGGAUUGCUCCCGCAGAUGUUCUGCAGCUAUAGAUCUGUGACAAAGUUAAUGUUAAAUUGUAAAACUUGUUGAUUCUGUCUCCUUCAAUAGUUGUUGACAUAAAUCAAACUAAGACUGGUCUCUUAUCAUGAUGGUCCUGUUGUUGUUUAUCUCUGUUCAUCUCUCUUUUUCUACAUCUCUAUUUCCUCUCUAAACCCAAUGCAGAAAUGACAUAUGACUGUCUGACACAAGUCUGGUUCUGCUUAAAGGAAGUUCUUCCUCUCCACUGUAACUUGAUAAAUGCUGCAAAGAGCUUCACUCAUGUGGAUGAAGAUGGGAUAGGAGUGGGUCUUAUCUUACAUGAUGGAGCCUAGUCUUUUCCCAUCUUAACACUGGGUCUUUGUAAAUACCUUGAAGAGUUGCAAAUUGGCACUAAACAAAGAUUGAUUGGUUGAUUAUCAUCAACGUCAUUGUCAUUUUCAAUUUCCUUGAGUGAUCCUUCCCAAAAGGAUCAAUAAAGUCAAUCUAAUCUAUUCUAAUUUAAUCCACACCAUAAUCAGAAAGGAGGUGUUCAUGAUGGAUCUGGGUCUUCAGCUUUUGCUUCAAGACUGAAAGGGAUUAAGCAGAUUGGAUGGAGCUUUGUCACUUCAGAGUCGAGUUAGGUCGGAGAUAUAUUUUCUUUGUAGUCUUGUGUUUACUUAUGCGUCUGUCUGCGUCAUGUGCAUAAAUAUAAAUAACUUGACUGCCCACGUCAUUGGAGGAUACCUCCAGCGGGUGCGGCAUAAACCUUGGGCUGUAUACAGCUACUGGAUGUGUGGGAUGUUAACAAGGCCGCGGCACUACUUGAGGAGGUUUCUUUACUGCUAAUGCUGAGAUCAAGGCAGAGAAAGUGACAGCAGCUGGGAUGUAGGUCGUUUAUAAGGCCACUUAAUAAGCCUGGAGGGCCAAUCGCGAGUAUGUGUCACUGGUUGGUAAUCCCUGCUGAUGUUAACCCUGUUAGAUCCACUCUACCUCGAUACUGCCCCUGCUGGAUAUGAAAAUACCGCACCUUUUGGCUUCAUUUUUGAGAACGCAGACACACCAAACCAACACUGGGGCUACGUGGCGGUUACUGGGAGAACCAGUCGCCUAUCACUGGCAGAGCACAGUAGGUGUGAGGAGGAUUAUACCUGCAUGAAGGAUUCCAGGUUGGCAGAAGCUGUUUUCAUACUUACAUUGUAAACAAGCUGCAAGGUUUUGAAUUUGAAGCAAGUGGCAACUGGGAGUCAGUGGAGAGAAAUAAUGAUGCUUAGGAUUGGUUCAAAAUGAGUCGUGCUGCUGUUUUCUGGAUCAUCUGCAGGUUUGAAUGCAGACGUUUUGCGAUGCUGCAAAAACCUGCACCUGCGAUGCAUGUGUGACAGGGGUCUGUCCGUCUGAUCCGUCUAAAUCCAACAUUUUCUUCAGUGUCUCUCUUCCAGAAUCUUUCCACAAGCUUGCCUUUUCAAUUCAAUGUGGACUUAGUUCCUGCGGAUUUAUCCCUGUUCAGGCUGGUGCAACCCAUUACCACGCCAGGUGCCUUCACAUUUUCGAUUUCACAUUCACUUGGCUAGAAAAGUAAACCCAAAUAUGUGUGAAUGCACCUAACUGAAGAGAAGUGGGCUGAUUUUUUUUUUUUCCUACAAAGGUGGAGUCGUCUUGUGUAGCCAAUCAGGGAAGCAGCCGACCUCGGGCGCAGACACAGCUCGCAGUUUAACUCGAAAACAGCUGAUGUUUCUUCUCCAUGCUUCUUAAAGGUGGGGUAGGCAGGAUUCUGUUGAAGAAGCAUUUUUUUUUUGUGGUGUAUAUACAAAAAAGUUUUAAUAUUAGUCAAUAGCUAUGAGUUAUUGAUGACAUUUGGGAAUGAAACGAUAUCGCUGUGUUCUCUUAUGUCUUUGUAGUCAACAUUUUAAUUUUGUUGAGCGGCCCGCUCUUUCUGACUGUAAACAAAGCCAUUCUCCACCUCCCCCAACCUGAUUGGUUGUGAGGUGGAUGCUGCUCCCUCAUGUUGUGAGGCACGCUCCAUGCCCUCGAUUAAAGUUCACGAGCCCAAACAAAGUUAGCGUGCUACAAUAUCAGACAGUAGAAACCAACCAGAAAGUACAGAAAACAAGCAAGAAAAUGAACUAAAUACCGGAGACUCUGGCAGAAUAACUUAAAAAGGAAGUGGACUGGAUAAGAGCUAAAAAGCCCUGUUACCUUACCUUUCUGCUGGACAGGUAAACGGCUUUAACAAAGUAAGCCAAGUGUCUGUAACAGAAGUGUUUCUUGUCAAACGGGACCUGCUGCAUGUUGUAGCGCCACGAAACUGUUGACCUUGGGUCCUGAAGUCUGUCACUUUAUCCUAGUUGUAGAAGUCCUGCAAACAUUGUGUUUGCUGGUAGUCUGUUGGCAUCUACAGUAGAACCGAUGCUUUUGCUUUCGGCAUUAUAUCUGAAUUUAAUUGGAACGAUACGAGCGAGCAUGAGCGUCUGUUUGAGGGCGGGGCUUGCUGGAGCAGAGAGGGAGGGGAGAGGAGGAGCUGAGGGGAAAACUGGUCGGGAGGAGUGGCGUUUACAUUCAAGAUUUCUCCCAAAAACUGGCACUUCCUCAGAUCCUGCCUACCCCACCUUUAAGACUCGCUGUUUACCCUUAUUGUGCAAAAUAUUGUCCUGUGAUAUUCUGUUCUCUAAACUACAACAAUCUCUUGUGCAAACUGGUAAUCAAUUCCCUCAAACUGCGUAAUUAUACCAACAGAGGACAACUCAAACCCAUCAGGCCGCUGUGGUUCCAUCUUUAUGUAUUAAACAGAGGUAAAGCCUGUAAUUACAGUCAAGACACAUAGAGGAUAGAGUGAAGUGUCUAUGGAUACAGGAAAAUAUUCAGCUUGCUCCCCUGUGAGAUAAGAACCCUGCAAUUAAGUCUCAACAUGCUACUGUACAUAGCAAUCAGAUUCACCAGGUUAAAACGCCUAAUUGCAUGGCAUUGACAGGCAAAGCUCUCCCUGAAUGAGCUCCCAUAAGAAAGGACUUUGUGAUAAAUAUUCUAACUGAGUUUAUCGUGAAAGGUGAAUACACAGACUCGGCUACCCGCUCUCUGUCGCGGCCUUGAGUUUCACGCAGGAGGGAGAGGAUUCAGAGAGCGGGAGUGUUUUUGCUCCACAGGACUCUCCAGGCCUUCACAGGAAAUGAUUUAUUCAGGAAGUAAGUGUAGCAGCGGGCCAUGGGGCCUCCCCUGUCAUCAUUUAGGUGCAUGCGCCCGCUUCAUUUAUCCUCCCCUUUUAUUGAUUAAUUCAUGGCCCUGAUUAAAAUUUCACAAGUUGCCAAUUGUCCUUCACAACGUCUGACUCCCCUGUCGAUCUGGAGCCGGUGGGUAUGACUGCCCUCCUGAUAAUGGGAGAAAAGGUGGCUGCAGAGCGUUUCCUCCCUCAUCACAGACCAGGCUGGACCAAGAGAGACUUCUUCUCUCUGAAUAUUUUACAUAUUGCAGCCCAUUAUAAUCCGUCUUUUUUAUGGUUACCCAGCGAGACAUUCCUUAAAUAUUGAUGUUAUGGUAAUUUAUCAAUAAUUGCGGACUGCUGGGAUAACAAGCCACAUUUGGGCAAAGGAGGAUAUCAAUUAAGCAGUCAGUUAGCUCUCUCUUACAGUGAGCAGUCGCUCUGCAUUAAUCUAAGAUGUUUCGCUGUUGUGGGCGUCACAGGUUUUCUCAAGAGCUUUGAAAUCUUCGGCCCUGAGAGAAGCUCCAAGGUGCAGCAAAGCAUGCUUGUGAUCUGAAGAAUGACAGUAAUUCAAAUUAAGUUACUGAGAUACCAUAUGUACAUGUAACCGCCAUUAGAGGCAUGGUUGACGAUCUGAGAAGCAGUUGAAAAAAACUGAGCCGUUGAGGCAGAUUUGAAAAGAGCGUCCCACCCCCUGCACUCAAACCUCUCCCCUCUGUGCUCCACGAUAACUCCCCCCGAACCUGUAUUGCCUUACCCAUGACACACCCCCUCUGGCAGAGCAAGGAGCCGGCCAACAGAAGAUCCUACGCUAGCUUCAAAUAGGAUUCACCAUGUCGGAUUGCUGGUGACUAGCGGCAGUAAACGCCAGAUCUGCUAGCUAGCAUCAUAUGCAGCUGCCUGGACAGCUACAGUGUUAACAUUGCAGAGACUAAUAACAGUUUUUUUUUAUGUAACAUGUGCCACGAUAAAAGGAAAAAUUACCUGUUCAACAAAAACUCUGCUGUCCCGGCGUCUGUUUUCAGGCCCAAAUCCUGGCAGAGCUUUCUCCACCACUUGAAGGAUGACCUGACUUUUAUCCGAGUUAGAUUCCUCGCUUAGUCACAUUCCCUUUUUGUCUCCCCCCUUUCUUCUGUCGGCUUGUGUUUUCUCGCACAUUUUUUUUGUGUCUUUCUUCGUCACAGCUCCUGUAGCUAACGUAGUUAGCUAAAAGUAGCGUAGUAGCUGCUAUGCUACUUAUAGUCGCUCAGAACUCUGAGGAGGGCUGGGUGAGUGGGAGGGGACGAGUCGCAACUAUGGGAGAGGGGUGUGUUGAAUACAGCGAGGUGAUUGGAUGGAGUGGCGGAGCAGGAGAUUGACCAAUAGGAGUUGUCUGGGACGGGUGGCUCCCAUUGGUCAAUGUUUUUGCAGCCCUGCACAUGUUAGGGUGAACAGAUUUUUCCAUUCUUUUUUCUCUUCACUUUGUGAUGACUGCACUAUAGGACCAUGAUCGCCAAAUAAAUGAGGUUCAUAAUAAUUACCAAUCUCUCCAAUCGUCAACCAUGCCUUUAACAUGAAGGUCAAUAGUUAUGUCACUCAGAUUUGUCACUCGUGUUUACACGAGACUUUUACUUUGUUUCUUGCUACUUCUGUCAAGAGGUAGAAAUAAAAGUCGGGAGAUAAAUCAAAAAAGCCGAAAGCUUCACAUUUUUACUUUGCAAAGCCUACAGUUCAAGCUAACGUUUAUAUAAGCAAAAGUUGUCUUAAACUUUAUAUUCAGUUAAUCACCUAUUUGCAUGAAAUGAGCGGGAAAACUUUUUAUUCCUGCAAAGCUCACACUCCACACUGCAGAGACGUAGUCAGAACCAAACAUGCCAGCUAUACAACAUAAAACCCUUUUCUAUAACCAGACAUACCUGUUAGGUGCUUUAAAAUCACAGAAGCACGAGUACAGUUAGCUAUUUUCAUGGCUAGGUUGUAAUUAUCAUCAAGCAUGUUUUGGUCACCUUCCUGAGACCUAUUUUUACUUCAGGACUGUGAUGACUUAUAGGCUCCAGUGGUUUCUGCCUGUGUUUCUGAUAUGAAUACGUCACUUUGAGAUCAUUGAUUGGUGGUAUAGACUCAGAAAGUUGAGCCUUUUUUUUUAAAUAAUUACUGUAAUUUGCUGUAAUUCUGACUUACAGUUUUACGUCAUUGUGGGGAAAAAAGUACCGCCUGGUAGAAACCAGACAUUAUCCACACGCAUAAUCACUCAAGUAUUAAACGUUACCACACCUCCACCUUGGAAAAAGAGUAGGUCUCCUCCGCACAUGUAGCAGGUAACAGCUGCAGUGAUUUUUUUUUUCAUUUGACAAGCAGGAAACCCGAGCAGAAUCCGACUCAUGCUGACCGCUCUAGAGUAAGAGAAAGAUGUAGAAAGAGAGACAGAAAAACAGAGCAACAGCGGCAACUAAUAAAACCCCAUUAUAACUGCAGUGCUAAUAAUAAUAAUGGUGAAAGAGUGUCAUCAGCAGAAACAGCAAAACAAUAAUUAACUGAUUGUUUAACAACCUUAAUGAUGGUAAUACUGGGAGGACUAACAAUGUUGAUUAAAGCAGCUGGAGUUGAACAGCUCUAAGAUUCGCAUUAAGAAGAACAAUAAUGAUGGUAAUGAUGGAAAGACUGCGACUUGUUGUUGUGGUAGUUGAAGUUGGACGAGGCAGCAAAGAUCCAGAGGAACCAAACGAGACAGGAAAGCUCACAACCUAUUGUGAUCUGAAGUUUGAUGUGAUGGAUCGGAGAAAGACAGCAGGAGAGCCGGAGAGGAGCUUGGAGUCCCAGAGACAGCAUCUACGCUGACUUUAACCUUGCCCUGGUUGAGGGCUUUAAACCUGCUUUUAAAGAUGACUGAUUGUGUUGUUUUACUUCAGUGUUUUCACAAAUAUCAUGAGAGUAAUAACAAUGAUAUUUUCUCUCUGUUUAUACUAUGGACAACUUGGUUCCGCCUUCCGCCUGUAAAUGGAUUUGAAGCCAAAAAGCUCUCGUGAUUUUUCUUCAUUUCCUGAAACCAGCAUUGCACAGUAGCGUUGUAUGCAUUCGGUUCAAACAGCGUAUCCCCUGGGUGAAUUAUGCUAUCCCUGAACGCUGUAUCAAGUGUCAAUCAUAGCAAACAUGAACCCCCUAAUAAUGUUUAAAAACUGAGCUUCACGGAAAAAAGAGGACUUGAGCACAAACCAGUCUUACAAUAACUACAUGUCAACAUCGCAAGCAGGGGGGAGAAAAAUUUAUAAUUAAAAUUUAUGACCUAUAUUCCAGCCCGCCAACAGAGGGUGCUGUUCUCAGAGUGGCUUCACCCAGUGAGGAGGCAGACGCUGUCCAUUCUAUAUACAGUCUAUGGUAAGUAACAAAAUUUAGCAACAAGACACAACUGGAAAACUGGAGAGUAAAACAUCCCAUAUCCAAUACUAUUUUAAAACUUCCAAUUUAUGAGAACCGGAGGUAUCUCUGACAGAAUAUAAUUUAAAGGUAUGCAAAUAGCAAGCCC